rnacentral:rRNA from 1 species
GGCCUUAUGAUUUUUUAAGGUCUGACCUGCCCACUGAUAACUUAAAGGGCCGUGGUAUAUUGACCAUGCGAAGGUAGCAUAAUCACUUGCCUCUUGAUUAGAGGCUAGAAUGAAGGGUUAGACGAGGGAUUUUCUGUCUCAUAUGUUUGUAUGAAAUUAAUUACUGGGUGAAAAAGCUCAGAUUAUUUUGAAGGACGAUAAGACCCUAUGGAUCUUUUGUGUUGGGGCGACACUGAGAGGAGAUUUAUCCCUCAGUCUAUUCAGACAUAUAUCUAUGAUAUAAGAUCCUUUAGUGAAAUUAGAUUAAGUUACCCUAGGGAUAACAGCGUUAUAUCCUUUGAGAGUUCAUAUCGACAAGGAUGAUUACGACCUCGAUGUUGGUUCAGGGAACCUUUAAGGUGUAGUAGUUUUAAAAGGAGGUCUGUUCGACCUUUAAAUCCCUACG